rnacentral:lncRNA from 8 species
AUGGUGAUAGUAGUAGAAGUAAUGGUGAUAGUAGUAGUAGUAGUAGUAGUAGUAGUAGUAAUAAUAGUAGUAGCAGUAGCAGUAAUGGUGAUAUUAGUAGUAGUAGUUGUAGUACUAGCAGUAAUGGUGAUAGUAGUAGUAGUUGUAAUGGUGAUAGUAGUAGUAGUAAUGGUGAUAUUAGUAGUAGUAGUAGUAGCAGUAAUGGUGACAGUAGUAGCACUAAUGGUGAUAGUAGUAGCACUAAUGGUGAUAGUAGUAGCAGAAAUGGUGAUUGAUGUAGUAGUAGUAGUAGUAAUGGUGAUAGUAGUAGUAGUAAUGGUGAUAGUAGUAGUAGUAAUUUUGAAAGUAGUAGUAGUAGUAGUAGUAAUGAUGAUAGUAGUAGUAAUGGUGAUAGUAGUAGUAGUAAUGGUGAUAGUAGUAGUAGCAAUAUUGAAAGUAGUAGUAGUAGUAAUGGUUAUAGUAGUAGUAAUGAUGAUAGUAGUAGUAGUAAUGGUGAUAGUUGUAGUAGUAAUAUUGAUAGUAGUAGUAUUAGUAAUGGUGAUAGUAGUAGUAAUGGUGAUAGUAGCAGUAGUAAUUGUGAUAGUAGUAGUAGUAGUAGUAGUAGUAGUACUAGUAAUAAUGGUGAUUGUAGUAGUAGUAGUAUUGGUGAUAGGAGUAGUAGUAAUGGUGAUAGUAGUAGUAGUAAUGAUGAUAUUAGUAGUAGUAGUAGUAGUAGCAGUAGCAGUAAUGAUGAUAUUAGUAGUAGUAGUAGUAGUAGUAGUAGUAGUAGUAGUAAUGGUGAUAGUAGUAGAAGUUGUAAUGGUCAUAUUAGUAGUAGUAGUAGUAGCAGUAAUGGUGAUAGUAGUAGCACUAAUGGUGAUAGUAGUAGCAGUAAUGGUGAUAGUAGUAGCAGUAAUGGUGAUUGUAGUAGUAGUAGUAACACUAAUGGUGAUAGUAGUAGCAGUAAUGGUGAUAGUAGUAGCAGUAAUGGUGAUUGUAGUAGUAGUAGUAGUAGUAAUGGUGAUAGUAGUAGUAGUAGUAAUGGUGAUAGUAGUAGUAGUAAUGGAGAUAGUAGUAGUAGUAAUAUUGAUAGUAGUAGUAGUAAUGGUGAUAGUAGUAGUAAUGAUGACAGUAGUAUUAGUAGUAAUGGUGAUAGUAGUAGUAGUAAUGGUGAUAGUAGUAGUAGUACCUAGUAGCAGUAAUGGUGAUAGUAGUAGCAGUAAUGGUGAUAGUAGUAGCAUUAAUGGUGAUAGUAGUAGUAAUAGUAGUAAUAGUAAUAGUAGUAGUAGUAGUAGUACUAGUAAUGGUGAUUGUAGUAGUAGAAUAGUAAUGGUGAUUGUAGUAGUAGUAGUAGUAUUGGUGAUAGUAGUAGUAGUAAUCAUGAUAGUAGCAGUAGUAAUGGUGAUGGUGAUAGUAGUAGUAGUGGUGGUGAUAGUAGUAGUAGUGUGGUGA